AUCCCUAAUCUUCAUAAAUUGCCCCCAACUGUGAAGCUGCCAAAUGAGUGUAGCAAAUAGGAGCCACAAAAAAUAUGGUUGUGGUGCUUCUUUGAUACAUAUAGGAUAGAGAAUGAACAAACUCUUGCAGAUCAUCAGCCGAAAACCCAGCUUGGUCUAAGAGAACAUGAUAGUGGGUCUGCCUCAUGAUUCCAAUCAUUCCAGCAUGGGUACCAAGGUAAAAAUCAUUGUUCUUUGGAUGGCAUACUUUGUUGUCAAUGACAGUACCAUGUAGCACAUUGUCAGGAGAUUCCUGCUGAAAAAACUUGGUAUGAUGGUUUUUCGUACAACAAUAAUCACAAUCUUUAGGGUUCCACUUCUCGUCAAGGAACUUGCAAGACUCAAUAACUUGAUCAAAACUUGAUUGAAUUGAGACUCGCUAACCCUAUCCCUGAAAAUAAUGAUUUGAUCAAGUUUCUUCUUCCCUGAACUUGUAUAGAAGUUUAAGAGAGCUUCCUUCAUGAUACCGUCAUCCACUUUGUCAGAAACUGGUUUUGAAGAAAGAAUCUAUCAUUUUAAGCUUCAGAGACUGUGUACGGCCUGAUGCCCCAUAACUAGAAAUCAAUGGCCACCGCCUGGAGCUAAUCAUCGUAGCUAUUGACAGCACAUCAGACUGCUCAGGAAAGCCAAACAAUGCACCCAUUCCAAUGAUGAUGGUUGGAACCUUUGGAACAACUGGAAUUGAAGGUGUUUGCCCCAGCGUAAGCAUAGAUAGUAGGCAGUAGUUUCUUACGCCAAUUUUUACCAGUCUCAGUCAUCUUCUGUAAUUUGUUUUUUUUUCUUUUUCUUUUCUUUUGGCAACCUUUGUUGUACUGUGGUAUGGCGCAUUAUCUUUGAAAAGACUGCAAACUUUUGGCAUUGUGCAGUUAUAUAUAAUCUUUUUCUUUUUUCUUUUUUUUUUUGAGAUGGAUGACUUUUGACUUUGUAAUAUUGGCAUAUGAAGCUAUCUCCCCUCCUAAUGGAGCAGUUGACGUCCACAAAGAUGAGUCAUUGUCAGCUUGAAACUUUUGAUGAGCUCGGGCCCAUAACAUACAUGCCUCAUAAGUCUUGACUCCCUUAAAUUUGGCAUUCAUUGUACAACUGAUGCGAUCCCUUUUCAUGGUGGACCAACAAUGCCUCAAAACCUCAUGUUUAUUCUGGCAAUUGCAAAUCCUCCUACAUGCGUUUUUGGACCACAUUUUUGAAUUCCCAUAAUAGUCUCAACAAGGUCUUGUCUUGUCUCCUCAGCUAAUUCCAAUUUCACAAUCUUUCCUUCCUCUAAGGCUAUAUUUCCUACCACCACUUCAUGGGGUAAAAACCAUUUUCAACAAAUUCAGAAACAAGUCACAAUUUCUGUCACCUUCAAAGUACUGAGAUUCCUCUAAACACAUAUUUUACUCAAAAGAAACUCUGAAUCUGUAGUAUCGUUGCCCGUGUCAUUGAUAUCUAGGAAUCUAUGAUAGGCAGAUAAAAGAAUAUACAAGGAAUAAAUGAAUUCAAAAAUGACUAUUUACAUGAAAUGAAAAUUUAUAAAGAAUGUCAAAGGUCAAAAGAAUCAGAAUGAAAGAAUAUUUACUUGGAUGAAUAAUAAAAGUAUGUUUUAUUGAAAAUAAAAAUGUCUGAACAUGAGCCCACUUCUCAAAAGAAAUCUCAUUACUCCUAGGCUUUAGAGCAACAAGAGUGUUCUGAAUAUUACUCCGUAAAAUUCCUAAAGAUUACAGGAAGUUCUUCUGCAGUCCAAUUGUUUAAAGAAAUUCCCGGUUCGUAAGGGCGAAUGCCCUCAAGGUUUCUUUGUUCAGUCCCUUCCCCAUGUAUGAGAUUGAUGGGAUGAUUUUCAUUUCCAAACACCCCCUUCUCCGGGUAAGCUAUCCCUCCUGACACAAAAGUUGAGGAUAUGUAAGGGAACGUCGUUAAUUCCCAUUCAACUUCUUUUUCACUCAGCUGUGACCCUCUUCUCUCUCUCUCUAUUUUUCUUUCUCUUUUUAAUAACUUUAACUAAUUAGGGUCCUUUUAUGGAUUUACAUGCAUUUGAUGUGAUGCAAUUCAAAUGCAUGAAUGCAAAAGAAAAGGAGAUGUUGAUCUUGAAUUCAAUUCCAUUAGAAUAACUUUUCUAGAAAACAGAUUUCUUUACAUGAAAAUAGAUUACAUAUGCGAUCUUGCCCUUCAUAGUCCAAGUAAACGCUGAUCUUUUCUUCAUGGUCGAAUCCUGUAAAUUCUCCAAAAGAUGUCUUUGCUAGCUCCUUGCUGCUUAAUCUGAGCCUCGAUCUCUUACUCGCUUAUCUUCAUGAUACUCAUUAAAAAGUGCCGACUCUUGGAUAAUCUUCGUUGGCAAUUAAAUCAAGUCAUGUAUUCCUUCGUGGACUUCCGGCUUUCUCUCCUCAUGAUCUUGGACUACCAUCUUUCUCUCGUUGUGUUUACUUGGACUAUAUUCAGACGACCGCACUAUAAUCUACUUUAUUAAGAAAUUUGUUUCCUUAUGACAAACUAUUCUAUUUAGGAAUCGAAUUUCGAAUCAACACAUUCUUUUCUUUGAUGUAAUGUAAUGCAAAUGCAUGAAUGCAAAAAGGUAUUGAUCUCGAUUCAGUUUCAUUUUAGAAAACGUUAUUUAAGGAACAAAAGUCUUUUCAUAAAAUGGAUUACAAAUACGCUUUCGCUCGUAGGCCCAGAGUCUUAACCCUAUCUAAUAAAAAAGCUAACUCUCGACCUCUAUCUGAACUGUAGCUCAUAUUGGUGUUCAACGUGCUUGCCCUUUCUACCAGUAUCUAUAAAUGAUCAGCUAUCUCUUGAAUUUGAAUUACAGCUUCACUUAUGAAGUAAGCUCUACAGCCAAAGACACCUCCUCUAAUGUUUGUGAAGUUGCUCUGAUUACCUUGAAAGAAAGAUUAGCGAACAAGUAGGCAUUCCAGCUUCGCAGCAUACUACCUUAAAAUGAUAUCAAACAUCCUCAGUGCUUCUUGAGAGUCUUUAAAUUUCUACCUCCACAGAACAUUUUGAAUUGCUUGCAUGGGUAUCUUCGCAACAUAGCUAAUCUCCACUUUAAAGGUCUUUAAACAAUACGAUCUUCUUUAAUCUCUUUCUUUCAUGCUCAUUUGGGUUGUCCUGGUCAUCAGGGCUUACAUUUCCAUUAUUUCUGAUAAGUACAACAUCCUAAAGUACCACAGCAAAUUCCAGCUUGUUGUUUGGUAGCGGUUCUAUAGUAAGUGAGUCUUUCUACCAUCAUAAGCAAAAUUAUUUCCAUCCAAUUCAAUUUUGUAGGUUUUAAACCCUUACCAUCCACGAGGUGACUAUCUUCAUCUGUAAUGGUAGAAGUGUCCAUCAGUACUCCCCACGCUCACCUUGAAUUGUUCAUCUAUCUUCAUGUCAAGCAAAUACUGCAAUUCCCCAUAACUGUUGUAGAACAACUGUUUGGCUUCGUUACUCCAUUAAUCCCAUAUUUCCUUUAACUCUUGGAGGUUAUUUUGCAUCACACUAAUGAGAGUGUAGUCCCAUAAUUCUGAUGUGUAUCCUUCGAUGACACUAUUUCCUUUUUCUAUCUGGGUUUUCUCUGACCAAGCACAAACGAAAGAGUUGUCCUCCACUUUAUUAAGAUAUUCGUUCCCCGUUACAAAACUUUCUAACUCAAAAAUCGAACUUUGAAUCGACACCUUUUAAUGAUAAAUGACAUGGAAUGAUAGUAAAAUAAGAAAACAAGUCAGUGUCACAUAUAUAAAAAAUAUAAUAAAUAAGAACUUAUAAAGGUAGGCACUAAAGGUCAUCAUCAUACUACCUGGGGCAAGCACUUAAAGUUCACUAUAUGUAGUUCGGUUCUAAAGCAAGGGUACCUGAACCAGCAGAUUCUUCGAUCCUCACCAAUUAUAGGCUCAUAUGGACCAAGUUCGGUUCAGGGUGACACAUUUCCCUAUGGCCAUGCGGAGAUGAAAAUCUCACGAAGACAUAGGUACGGAUGUAUCCCGGAAGCAAUCCACUAGCCCAUGCGGAGGUGAAAACCUCACGAAAGCAUAGCUUCUCACUCCCACUUAAGGGUGUGACCACAACGGUCAUGCAAAUGCAAUCUGUGCGUAAACAAUAACAAACAUAUGCAACUAACACCUGUAAAAAUGACAUAUUUUAAAAAUUUUCCAAAUUUUCGACAUUAAGACAGAAAAUAAUCAAUUUUCGACUUGACCCUCUUAUAGGUCCCCAGUGGAGUCGCCAAGCUGUCGAAACCAUUUUUUAAAGGGGGUGUUUGAAAAACGGGGAUCGACUUUUGAAAAACAAAAACGGGAGUCGCCACCAAUCUUUUUAGGUGUGAUUGGAUCACCUUAUAAAAUGUUUUAUUUUAAAACGUUAAUUUUGGUCUACGAAAUUAUGAGAAAAAUAGGUUCGGGAGUCAGUUACGUACGAGGAAGGAUUAGCACCCUCGUAACGCCCAAAAUUGGUACCAAAUUGAAUAAUUUUUUGUCUUAAUGUCAGAAAAUUUGAAAAGAUUUUAAAACUUGAACAAUUUAAAGUUGAAACUUGAGAUUCCUUUGUUUCGAAAGUAUACAAACAUCACAUCCAGCAUGUUAGGACACACGAUGUUUUAAAUCCUCGUAACUAAAAUUAUCUCAUGAUUUCGAAAAUUUAUUAAAAUGAUAUUUGGUUAUUUAGUCAAACGAAAAAAAAUCGCAACCCAGCAUGUUAGGGCACUAUUUUCCAAAUUUCUAAACACCAAACAUUGCCUUAUUUAAGAAAAAAAAAUUUCAAUUAAAUGAAAUAUAUUUUUUAAAACAAUGAAUAAUAUAGAAUUUAAUAAAAAAUAAUUUGAUAUAAAUACUAAAAUUAUUAAAAAAAUAAAAUAUAAAAGAGAAUUUAAAAAAUUAAGGAGAUAGGGAUUAAAUAAAAAGGUUGAAAACGAAGAUGAACAAAGAAUAAAUAAGAAUAAACAGUAGAAAAUAAGAACGCAAGAGGGUGAGAAAUUUGAGUGAAUGCUCUCAAGAAUUCUUAUUGCUUCCCAAAACUUAAGUGAAGUCAAGUUGUUUUACAAUGAGGGGAGAGGCCUCUAUUUAUAGUUAAGCCUCCCCAAAUCCAACGGUACAGAUCAAUUACAUCAACGGUUAAGAUUAAAGGAUAUCUACAAAUUAAAUCUCCAAGAUUACAAAAUCAUAUCUUCUAAGAUUGUAUAUCAUAUCUAAGAUUGCAAUCAUAUCUAAGAUUGUAUCAUAUCUAAGAUUGCAAUCAUAUCUAAGAUUGUAUCAUAUCUAAGAUUGCAUAUCACAUCUAAGAUUGCAUAUCAUUGAAGAUUAUAUUUCCAUAUGAGUCAAACUUGUAGAUGGACCUUAAAUCUUUUCAAGUAAUGGGCCAUUUCGAUCGGGCCAAAUUAUAUUUGUAAUUCUGUACUGAACUUGGACUUCGUUUUUUUUUUGGGGAGAGGUUUAUUAUUUUUGGAUUAUUUCUGGGUCCGGGCAAAAUUGAGUGUCUACAUCGCAAUCUUCAAUGUGGGUAGAAUUCCUCGAGGAAUCAUGAUCAUCACCCUCACUCCAAAAACAAGAUGCAAGGAGAAGUUGGAAUCCACUGUAAACAAAGGCUGAAAGCAUCUACCCUUCUCUCUAAACUAAGUUUAGGCUCUUAAAUUACUCCAGUGCUUCUUGAGCACCAAAGUCAACAAUUUUACUAUACCCGUCAAUAGUAAGUAGCAAUUCUUUGGCUGGUGAAGAACAAUACUUUACAUAAGUUGUUUUAUUUUCCUUAGUGACCAUUCCCGUAUCCCUCACAACCUAAUGACAACAUUAAUAUUCCAAACAAAGCUCACAUGGUAAGCCCUAAGCUUAGCAUAAAAAUUGAAAAAACAAAAAUGAAUAAACCCCAAGUUUAAUUAUUAAUCAAUCAUAACUCUUAACUAAAAGUCUGCAAUGCAAACCAUCAACAUAUAUAGCAUAUCAUAAUAUCACACAAGUUUGCUAAUAUAAUUAUUAUUUUCAUAAAUUUAUUUAAUAUUACAAAUUUAACUUUAAUAAUAUUUUGAUUAUUUUAUUUAAAAUAUUCUAUCUUAAUAUUUUAUUAAUAAAUCACUUUAUAAAUAUUUAGAAAUAAAUGUUUCAUAAUAUAAAAUAUGAAUAUUUUAAUAAUAUAAAUAUGAAGUUUUAUCACACCCGUUUACAAUGUGUCAUUAUCUACCCUCGUAUAUGUUAUAUGUUAAUUAAAUUUUAAUUAGAUAUUGAUUAUUAUCAAAACUAUAUAAGAUAUUAAUUAUUACAAAAUAUUAUUUUAUUAUAAAAUAAAUUUUAGUUCUCAAAAAAAUGUUUAUAUAAGAUUUGUAACAAAUAUAAUAUGUUAUGUUUAUUUUCCUAAAAAAAGACUUCCAAAAUAAUAAAAAAAUAUUUUACAAAACCAUUCAAAAACUAAAAAAAUAUCAACUUUUAUAUUUUUUUAAGGGAAUAACUUAUAUUAGGAUCAUCCUAAUAAAAUUUUCUCACAUCAUCACAUUUUAAAGACGUGAAAUUACUAUUAUAUACCCAUCCAUAUUCAAUCUACUCUCCAACUCUAAGUUUUUUUAUUUAAAAAACCAUAAGUAAUUAAAAAAAUUCAAAUAACAUAGAAACUUAUAAAAUUUACGCAAUAUUCAAUGUAAUAUAAUUUUUACUUUUACUAAAUUUAGUUUUUAGGUAGUGUAUUUUUUUCUUUUUUGCAUUUAAAAUUAUUUUCUAUUUCAUAUUAUACAUUUUUUUAAAUGUAACCCAAACAAUGAUUGAUCUCCACAAAAAAUGCUUUGCCAGUACCACCACCACCAUAUAUGAAAAAGAACACAUCAAACUUAUUAUACAUAAAAUUAACAACUGCAUCAUAAACAGAUUUUGGUCAAAGUUUAAGUCAUUAUACAUUGUGCUCACGAAGUAAAGCAAUUCUAUCAUAAAUAAUUUCUUCCAUAACUAAGAAAUUAUGUUUAUAUUGAAUACGUAUCAUAUUUGGAAGAGGAACAUAUUUUUAAAUUUCUUCUAUGGUAUACUAUUUCUAUUCAUUGUCUUUUUAAUAUCAAUCAAACUGAUAUCAUAUUUUAAAAAAAAAACAUAUUUUUAAGUUUCCUCAAUGAUCUAUCAUUUCUAUCCAUUGUGUUUUCAAUGUCAAUCAAAGCGAUCAUUCCCAAAGUCAAAAAGUUUAUAAGCAAACCUUUGACGAUGAAAAUAUCUUCAAAUAAUAAUUCUUAAUUCUUAGACCAUAAUUUAGAAAAAUUAUCAACUUCGUAAAACAAAAUGAUAAUUACAAAAAAAUUUUAUGUAAUUGAUAAUCUAUAGCUCGGAAAAAUGUUUCAUGUAAUGUCUCAUGCCACUCAUGAAAUAAUUUAUAAAACAAAAUGAUAAUUACAAAAGAGGCAUGGGACAUUACGUGAAGCAUUUUUUCAAGCUAUCGAUUAUCAAUUACAUGACUUUUUUGUAAUUAUCUUUUGUUUUAUGAAGUUGAUAAUUUUUCUAAACUAUGGUUCAAGAAUUAGGAAUUAUUAUUUGAUGAUAUUGAAAAGACAAGGAAUAGAAAUGGUAGAUCAUUGAGGAAAUUUAAAGCUAUGUCCUUUUUUAAAUAUGACACAUCUUCAAGAUAAACCUAAAAAAAACACCCACCUAACACUUAACAAGGGAUGAGUAGUGUUUUGUAAAAGUUUAUUAAUGCCUAAAAACCUUGCGUCAUGUUUGGUUGGCUAUAAUAGCCAUUCCAUGACUGGUCAAUUUGGUGAUAAACAGUGAUUCCUUCGUUUGGUUCACCAAAUCAUUCAUUCCACCAAAUCGUCACUCAUCUCUUAUUACAACUUCUCCGUAACAAGCAUUCCUCACAAUACCUAAAGAAUAGCUUGAGGAAUAAAGAAAAAAAAACCCUAACCUAUCAUUGUUGCCCUUUAUCACUCUCAACCUCACCAACACUUCAAGCCACCACACCCUCAAGUAAUUGACAGAGUUGAUCCUCGAAGCUUCCCCAAAGUUGAUCCUAGUAAGGUUAAUAUUCCCCUCAAUCUCACUUUCAUUGUUACAAUUUCAUCUCUUUUCUUUUCUCCUUAAAAAUCUAAACUUAUUUAUAUAUUGGGUUCAUCCCUCUAACUUUAAAGAAGAAUCUUGUAUAAAACAAGAAAAUUUCUUGUUUGCCAAGUGAUUGAUCAGAGAGAGUGAGUGAAUUAGCGAUAAUGGCAGAAGCAGAGAAAUUUUUGGGAUCUAAUAACAUUGAAGAUAUACUAAAAAAAAAUAGAAAACAAAUCUCUAAAGAUCGAGUGCUUAAUUAAACAGUUGAAAUUUCUAAUACGAAUUUGAGUUUUCCUUUUAAGAGUUUUGAAAUGAAAAAUUUCUAUAGGAUUGAUUUGUUUCUAUCUGAGGUAUAAACCCAUUGAAGCUAUUAAAACUAUGCUCAAAUGUUAUCCCCUCCAAUACGAACGGUGCAAGGUUUGGUACCCUAAAAAGAAUUUUUUUUUCCCAUUUUUUUCAUUUUAAUUUGGAUAUUGGCAUUUGCAGCCUAUGAAUUGGAUAAGUGUGCAUGAAGCAUUAAUAGCUAUAAAAGAUGUUGAAGGAAUGAUCUAUUCUUUAGAUCCCUAAUACUAUGAUAUUCUUAUGAAGUGAGUCUUUUCUUUUCUUUUGGAAUUUCACUUGUAUAUUUCAUUCAAUGACAAGGUCUCUUUCAAAGUUUUUAAACAAGAUUGAGAGUAUUUGAGCAAAACGAAAUCUGGUCUAAUAUGUUUAAGUCCUCAUGGAAUCUGCUUUUAUGCUUUUCCUUUUUUAGUUUGUUAGUGCACUGUAACACCCCUAACCCAUCUCCGUCACCGGAUUAGGGUUACGGAGCAUUACUGUACAAAUCAGAAUAAUUAAUUUUAAAACAGAUCAAUAAUUCCAUUUAAUCUUAAUUACCAAAAAUUCAUUAUAAACCUAGCAAACAUACAGAUUUGAGCCUUAAAUCGAGCCUUCUAGGCCCUAAAAAUAGUUCGAGAACAAUCCAGGACUAAUUUAAAACAAAUCAGAAAAUUUCAAAAAAAGUUAAAAAAUUUGAAAACACGGGUCACACAGCUAUGUGACAUAACUCAGGCCAUAUGGGUAUUCGAAGUUUGGUCACAUAGCCGUGUAACUCAUUGUGACUGUGUGAUUCAUCUUGCAUCUAGAAUUUAAUAAACACAAAGCUGUGUGGGUUGGUUGUGCGUGGCACACUGUCGUGUAACAGCCCGUAUCUUAGGCUAUGUGCACCAAAAUUAACCCUCAAACCAAACCAUUUAAAUACCCAUCCUUGUCCAACAAGAUACAUCAUUUACACAUGUAUUCAUUUGUCCAAAUCACUCUCAAUUCAUGCUAAAUCAAUCAACCUAUGAAUUCUAACCAAUAUGCCAUUCAAAGGCACCACAAUUCACACCAAUUCAUCUAAUUCUAAAACAUACCUUACCAAUUCAUCUAAUUCUAAAACAUACCUUACCUUAAACAUGCAUUAUUACAACCAUGCAUCAUUAGUCAUUUAAAUCAUAUAUAAGCAUGUCUCAAGCCAUAUAUUUACAAUACACCUAAAAGUAAUCAAGAAUACAUCUUGCCAAAACCUUAUAAACCCAAACAAAAACAUUUACACAAAAGGCAUAAGCAAACUAGGUUGACCAAAUAACAUAUAUGUAACACUUAUUCAUUAAGCCUUAUACAUGCCAAAACAUACAUCACACAUUCACAAUUUAGUUACUUCAUUCUCAAAUUAUAUCACUUAGUCACAUUUAUUCACAAGACACACAUAAGAGACCAAACUCACCUGUUAACACAAGCAUAUUCCAACUAAUUUCUAAACAUAUAUAUACGCAAGUAUGUUAAGCAUAGGCUCAAAACAUUACAAAUUAACAUACAACCCUAUACAUACCAUUUAUAACCAUCAGUCUAAAUUAUUCAAAAGCUACCAAAAUAGUCAAUGGAUAGUGUGAUUGUGCUCCGACGAAAAUUUCAACCGAUCAGGCUUUUCGAUGAUCUACAAAACAAAGAAAAUAACUAUAUAAGCACCUAGUGCUUAGUAAGCUUGUAUAAAAGGAAACUUAAACUUACCGAACAUAUUAAAUUAAACAAUCAAAUAUACUUUCACCAUGUCAUAUGCCAAACUUCCUUUCCUAUACACAUUACCUCAUAAGGUUAGUAAAUAUAACAUUACAUUUAAGUUCCAAGUAAAUCAUGGCAUAUAAAUAAUAAGCAUUUAGGCUUUAUACAUCAUCUAUCACAUAUAUAUAUCCAUUACACAUUCUUCUCAUUUGAAUCAACAUAGUUAAUAGAUAAUAAGUAAACAUAACAUCUAUAAAACAUAGCAUAUAUUAAGAAAUGAAUUCCAUGUAUAUUUCAUCCAUCACCUGAUAAAUUCUUAUCCUUUUUAUUUCAUAUAUGCCUAUCUAUCUUUCCAUUUCAUAUGAACAUUAGUAACAUUAAAUUUAAUACAUGUCUUUCCAUUAAUCUUUACUUACCCGUUGAACCAUAUUGAAUUACAUCUGAUACUUGAAAUAAUAUUUUCAAUACAAAUUACCUGACACAAUACACCGCCACAAAGCCUGCUAAGCUCAAGGCCUGAUACAAUACACUGACACGAAGCCUACUAGGCUUACAGCCUAAUACAAUACACCAGCAUGAAGCUUGCUAGGCUCAAAGCCUGAUACAAUACACUAGCACAAAGCCUGCUAGGCUCAAGGCCUGAUACAAUACACUGGCACAAAGCCUGCUAGGCUCAAGUCCUGAUACAAUACUCCGGCACGAAGCCUGUUAGGCUCAAGGCCUGACAGAAUAUCUCAUGUAUAACUCAAUUGCAUUAUUAAUUUCCAUCAACCAACAUUAUAUAAUUACAAACAACAUAACUAGAGUAAAAAAAAAUCAAGGAUUUUAAUAUAAAAUAUAUAUAAUACUAACUUACUUAUACCAAAACGAUGUCUUAACGUGAUCUAACGCCUAAUCCGCUACUUUGAUUUUUCUGUGAUUUAUGUCCGUUCGAGUCAUUUCUUGAUCUAAAUAAUUAUAUUUUUUCAAUUAAUCUCAUUCCAACAUUUAAAAUAAUUAAGUUAAAUUUUAAUCCUUAACAAUGAAAAUUUAUAAAAUUACCCUCAAAGUUUAUCUUUUUUACAAUUUAAUUCCUAAACCCAAAACUUAUAAUUUAACCACUUUUAAUUAAAAUUCAUGCUAGCAGAUUAUUACCUAGCCUUGUAACAGCCCAUAUUUAUCAUCAAUUUACACUAUUUUCCUUGAAUUUUAUAAGUCACUGUGCCUUAAAAUCAUCAAAAAUUUUCUAACAAAAUAUAUUUAUUUAACAUCCAAGCUUAACAAUCUAUCAUAAAACUUUAAAAUAUAUAUCAAAUUCAUCUAUGGCAUAGCUAGAUUAAACUAAUACAUAUAUCAAUUUUACAAAUUGACUUCGGAUUAACUAGAUUAAGCUAACACGAACUCAAAAACAUAAAAUUUACUAGGUGAAAAUUAAAUUUACAUGCAAAUAACCAUGCUUGGCCGAAGCUUAUGAAGCCAACAAUGGAGUUUUCCAUUUUCCUAUUCGGUGAUGAAGAUAGAAAAUGAAGAAGACACAUGCUUUAUUUUCUUUUGUUUUAGAUCUAUUUAUUAAAUUAUUAUAUUAACCUUAAAGUAAACAACUAAAAUUCCAUAUUUGAAACCCUUGAACCGUCCACUAUGGUCUAAAAAGGUAAAUUCCAUAUAAAUCCUUUAAUUCAUGCUUUUAUAUUCAUUUAAUACAAAUAAAGUUAUAGCAAUUAAGUUUUACAUAUUUUACACUUCAGUCCUUUUCAAUUAAUUAAUUAUCUAAACAUUAAAAUUUCUUAACCAAACUUAGUAUGACCCUAAUAACACCCUAUAAAUAUUUAAUAAAUUAUUUUCGAGCUUGGUUUAUAGAAAGGAGGUCCCAAAACCUCAUUUUCUAAAGCCACUUUACUUUAAGGACUUACCACUUGAACCUAAUUAUUCAUUCAAAUAAAAUAAAUUAUCAAAUCAAGAUUUAUUAUAAAUAUUAAAUAGUAAUAUUUACGGACUCACUCGUGGGAUUUGUGGCCCCGAAAUCACUAUUUCUGACACCAUAAAAAAGCGGGUUGUUACAUGCACAAUUGUUGUUGCAUCGAAUGCUACAUUAUUAUUGAUUAAUGAAUAGCUUCAAGCAUCUGCACUUGAUGAAUUUGCAUUUUGUGACUAAAUCUUUUACUAGGUUUGUUGUCCUCAAUGUUGAACAUUUUGCCUAGUGAUGUUAUAGCUCUUGGGGAAACAAUUGCUUUCAUUAUAGGUACACAUGUUUUGUAGUUCAUAUAUGAUUGUUAUGAAUACUUCCAAGUAUGUAUAUAGAGGAUUGUCGACAGGAGAUCGCACCACAAGUGAUUAGUGCCUUAAGAUCCAUGAAAAGCUGAUAGAGAAAGUCGGUUUCGGAUGCAUACUUCGUUUCCUUGUAGACAUUGUGAAUAUGGUUUGACUCUAAUCACCCUUUCUUCCUUUUGAAAAGAAAAUUAUUAAAGAAAUGUUCAGCAUUUCCUCUUCAUUGUUCCACAUGUAUGUGAACCACAAAUUUUGUCUAUCACUGAAUGAUUAGAGGUAGAACUAUGAUUUAUCAUAAAUUAAUAAUACAAAUAUAUGACUUUUUAGAUGGGGUCAUUGCAAGUGUUUAAUUAUCAAAUCAUAUUACUAGUGAAUCAAUGGUUUUUCUCUAUUUACUACAUUUUUCCCUUUAGUAUAUAAAUCUUGUUACUUAUUGAUUGCAGUGAAAUUGUAAGAACAAUGAGAUUAAUUUAUCAAGCUAGGAAAGAAAAAAGAGUGGAGAUGAUCUAGUCCAUAAAUUAAGGGUCUAGUUAUAAGCAUAGGUUAAUUAUUAUAGAAAAUUCUUUUACAUUUAAUACAAUUUUUAUCAAAUUCUAAAAAAAAUGCAUUAAAAACACCUUGUUCUUUAAAUGUCAUCUUAACAUGAUCAAUAAGUAGGCAGGGGUUAAUAUUUUCGAUUAAAUUAAUUGUUAUUUGUAUAACUGAAAUUAGUUGUCAUUAUUGAAACUAAGUGCAUUAUUGAGGACUUAGUUCUUAAUGUAUAGUUAUUAGCGGAUUGAAUGCAUUUGAAGUCGUUUUCACCAUUAUCGGUUUCUCCUCCAUGUUGUUGUGCUUUGCCUAUUGGAAACUUCUAUCAAACAACUAUUACUUUGUCUGUACUUUGAGCUCAAAGGAGUACUUAUGAGAUAUAGCUCUUUCAGAGUUGGUAAUCUAUAGAGGUCUUAUUUACUUUUCACCUCGAUUGUAUACACAAAAAAAAAAGUCAAUGUCAAACUGUUGUUACUCUUUUUUCUAUUUUUCUACUUUGGUGCUUGGAGGAGUACCCUCUUUACAAAAAAAUAUUGUUUGAAACUCAUAUAUAAGUGUAAGUUUUUAUUAUCUUGUUUUAAAUUUAUAUUUAAUGUAGAUUUUUUAUUUUUUUAUUGAGUCAUAAAUAAGUCAGUCAAUUCAGAUAUUGCAGAUCAAUUUACUUCCAUAUAAGCAAAAAAUUGAGUCAUUAAAAAUUAUUAUUGUUGAUGAUGUAAUAUUUAGACGAUAUAAUGAUAGGAUAGACUGCAAUAAACAGUUUUUACUUCUUCUUUUUUUAACGACUUAAAAGUUAACAUAAUAUUAGUUAUUAAAUUUUAAGUAAUACAAAAAGGAAUAUAAAUUUUUGCUGUUUUUAGAAUUUCCUCUAGUGGGCAGUGUUAUUUAAAGCAGCGAUUGAGAAAAUGGCAGACUUGAUCUGUGUUCAGCUCUCUGUUAUUUGGGUCUGAUAUAAUUUAUUGGCGUUGGAAACGUCAGCCAGCCACCCUUCAUUGGUACAUCCUUCUUGCAGACCAUCAUUUCUUUCUUUUUAUUACCAUCAUUUUCUUUAACCAAAUAUGAAACUCUCGAAGAUGGCUAUGGAAUGUUUCAGGGUUUUCUUCUUUGUUCUACUCUUCGCUGCCUCUCCUCUUCUCCAAGGUCUGUAAAUUACUAUUUCAGAUCUAAAUCUAUUAUCCUCUUUGAUUAAACAUUAAAUAGCUAUUUCUGCUUACCUAUCGCCGACUCUGGAUCUUACUUUUGGAUUUUCCUCUUGCAUUCUUACGUCCCAUUGUUUUGAUCUGAAUUGAUUUUCUUUAUUUUGAUUCAUGAUUCGAUAAGUGUGAUUUUGGCGUGAUUUCUUUGUUUUCUAAAUCUUGGUUGCAUUGCAUGCCCUUGACAUUUCAUUUUCAUUUGAUUUCUUUUUCAGAAAACAGACAAGCUUGGCCAUCGUUUUUCUACCUUUUCUACCGAUACUUAAGUGGUUAUUUAGCUUUCUUUUUUGCUCUAAGAAAAGGCAACGAAAAGCGUUCUUGUCAAGCACUUCUCGUUUUUGGCUAAAAUGCUUGUCAACUACUUUGAUGCUCUUUUCUGUAACAUUCUUGAAGUAGUAUUUCCAGAGUUGAAUUUGUUUGUUGCAUUUUUUUUGUUUACCUUUUGUUGAUCAUAAAUUAAUAAAUAGAUAAAUAAAUUGUCAAUAUUGUUUUAAAUUAUGUUGUGACUUGAAUUUUUUCUUGUGUGAUAGUUGCUAGGUGUCAAUCAGAAGCAGACGUAGAUGUUGCUGAAGCUGUUGAAGGAGGUGAGCUUGGGAUUGUUGGCGAGGAUGUUCAGGAUUUUGGUGAUGGGAAUUUUGGCCCAGCGCCGGGAGUUGAAACUGUAUGCAUUUUCCCCAAAAAUAGUGCGAAAUGUAAGAACAUUUCGAUGUAUGAUUUUGUGAGUGAUGUGCAUUUUUAUUUGAUUGGAAAUGGUUAACCUCUUCCCCCCCCCCCCCCUUCUCUCUUGGCAGUGGUUGUGGCUGGAGAAGAGACUGAACUUUUAGUUGGGAUGGAAAAUGUUGGUAAUUAGUUUGUCUUCACAACAUUACUGGCUCUUUUUACAAUGCAAUUUGAUGUUAUGUGUUGAAAUAAGUUAAUUUAUCUGUCCUUCUUCAGUUCAUUUGCUAGAUUUCAAUGCUUACCAGUUUUGCAUUAGCCAUGCCAGUUCUCUCUUAUGCUUAGGGGUCACCUUUAAAUAGCAUUGCAAUCCAAGCAAGUGUUCAUCUCCCUUUCGAUCAUCGAAUGCUUGUACAAAAUCUUACAGCGCAGGUAAUCAUAGGUUUUCAUAAUAUUGUUCUGGUAAUAUUUUUAAAACUCAUGCUUUGGUAUCUAGUGCAGUUUUCAUUUUGAUUGAUUUCUGUUCUUAAUUUCUGUCAUUUCCUAAUUUAAAAACUUUACAUUAUUGAAUAUCUUGCCUUUUAGUUUUUUUUAAGUUAAUGCAUUCAUUGUUUUUUUUUUUUCUUCUAGAUCAUUAUUUGCUGCUUAUCCUAUUUUGUUGUCUACUUGGUUAAAAGGUGUUGACUAAAUCUAUGGUAUCUUUAUUGAAUGUCUUAAAUAUCCAUUAUCAAACAUGUGGCUAGUGAUGAGUUUUAUGUGCUGUGACUGAUUCUUUUGUGUUCCUCUUGCUACUGCUUACCUACUUUAAUGAGCUUUAACAGUGAUAGUUCAGUUCAUUAUUUUUGCCCAAUAAUAUGAAGAUGGAUGUUGAACUUGCAUUUAGAUUGGUUUAAGAAACAUUGGCAGAGUGUGUUACCAAUGUAGAUUUUGCUGUGUCUUUAACUUUCAGGCUAGACCCUACACUGAUUUUGUGAUUAUACUGAGUAUAUCAAUACAGUAUAUAGAUAUCAUACUCUAAUUGCUCACUGUGCAAUUGUAAUGUUUUGCUGCUGGUUCUGACAUUUGGCUUUUUGUUUUCUUUUGUGCUUUACCUUAAAGCCUAAACCCUAUAAAAUGCUUCUUGCUUUAUUUGAAAAGGAUCUUAAGCUUCUUCAUUGCUAAAACAUUAUGGCCUAUGUUGUUGGAUUGAAACCGCCUUGUGACUUUUGCAUGUAAAUUUUGUAACUGAAAGUGUGUUGUUUUAAUACAGACCUUCAACAAAGCAUCUGUGUCCCCUUCAGUGCAAGCUACUUUCCCUUACAUGUUUGCUGUUAGCAGGUACUUACAGGUAAAUAAAAACUCGGGGAGUUCUAUGCUGUAGAACUUUAUAUAAAUACCUUUUUGUGAGGACAGUGUUGCAGUUAAGCUUACAUGUCUAAAACAUUGAUGCAGCCCGGAACUUUUGAUCUUGUGGGUACGAUUGUCUAUGAAAUUCACCAGAAACCAUACCAAAAUACAUUCUACAAUGGUACCGUUGAAGUUGUUGAGGCUGGUGGUUUCCUAAGUGUUGAGUCUGUUUUUCUUGUUACCCUUGGGAUUGCACUUCUUGUUCUCCUCGCCUUAUGGCUUCAUGGUCAACUUCAGCUUACUACAAAGGUAUUGUAAUUGUGCCACCUUCUUCAGUUGUAUUAAUUUACUCUAGUAACUAUGUACUAAAAUAAAGUAUGCAUGAGACAGGAUUAACAUUUUCUCCAAACUAUUUGUUAUAAUACCUAAUCAAACAGGGCCUUUUGCUGAAUGAAAAUAUUGAUGGAUAUCUCGUAGAAAAGAGCACACCCACCAUGUAUACAUGGGGUCAAAUCUACAUUGUCCUAGCAUGAUUGACCUAUUUCAAAUUGUCCAGAAAGCUAUUGUGCUGUGAAUGUUAAGUAUUUGUAAAUUUUUUUGUUUUUGCACUUGCAAGAUUACUUUAUUGUUGCAUGCAUACUUGUAAGGAGAGAGAGACAGAAGGAAAAGUGCUUGCAUCUAUUUUUUCAUGUUUCUUGUAUUUCUUAUUUUUAAUUUUUUGCGGAGUGAACCUAAUAUGUUUGCCUUUAUUGUUUGUUUUUGCUAGAAAACUAAGAAUGCUCCAAAGGUGGAAGUCGGAACUGGGACUACUGAUGCCUCAUUGGAUGAAUGGCUUCAGGUUAUGCAUCGUCAUUUACUUCCCAUAAUUUUCUAGUGCAGUUAUUGUUCUCUUUUUUCUUUUCGGUCUGUUCACCCUCUACUACUCGUAUUAUGGACCUCUGUCUUAAAUAAGUUAAAUAACAAUCUUAGUAGGGUUUAGCUGAAAAUUUCCUGAUUUGGAUGUCUUAAUUUUCAGGGAACUGCUUACACUCAGUCAGCUUCCAAAUCAAAGAAAAAGAAGUAGAUGGGGCAGUGUUUCUGAAGUUAGGCUAUUGCAACACAUGCUAGGCAUUUGGAAAAUUUCAAAGUGAAGGCACAAGUAGUUUGAGAAUUAGGCCAGGAAAAGGCAUACCUUGCUGUUGUAGCAUGUGAAAUUAAGCCUUUUUGAAGCAAAAAGGUAAGAAGCAGAAGGUUCAAUUUUAUUUGAGGAAAAUUUCCGGAUAACAUUAUAUUUUCUUGCCCCCAACCCACCAACAUUUGCUUCUUGUUUUCUAGGUUGUGGUAGAUAAAAAUUCUUGCUCAUGGAUUCCGGGUUUUGCUUGAUUGGUCUAUACAAUUUCUCUCUCAAAAGAUUCCAAAGUCUAAUGGUUGUUGGUCGAUGUUUCUUGGACGGGAACGAUAGUCAAACCGUUAAGAUCAUCAGUUUUUGGUUUGAUUUGUUCGUUCAGUUCAAAGUAAACAAAUUUAUUACAAAUUUUAAAAAAAAUAUAAAAUCUAGUUUAAUAGCUUUGUACUAAUUCGUGGGUCAAUUUUUUGUUAGAUCAGUCCAAAUAACAUUGUUGUUUGUAGUAUCAUCCUUUAUUUUUAAACAUGAUGGAGCAUAAAGGUUGGGACUUUUAAUUUUGUUGAAGACUAAUCGUAUUUUUAAUGAUGAAUGAUCUCGUCGUAUUAUUCUUACAAUUUUGUUUACAAAAAAUGUUAUUUUUAAUUUACUCGAAUAAUAUUUUUAAUAAAAUUUUAAAUAUAGAUAUUUAAAAAAGAUGUGAGGAAUAAUAUCAACUUGCGGAUAUGCUAAAAUCAUCCAUCGUCGCAAAAUCUUGUUUUAGGCUUAAAAUGAAAGUCGUCCAAGAUGGGUCCAACUUCGACCACUAAUUUAAAGUACCCAAGUGUAUGACUAUAUAAAAUUCAAUUGUAGGUGAUGAGAUAUUACCUAAAUUUGGGGCAUUAAAACCCUCCACAUCUUUGAAUGUGACUAUUAAUCCAAAAAAUGUGCUAUGAGGUUAUCACUUGUCUAAAACAUUGCUUCAAUACCCUUUGCCCCACUCACAUAAUUUACAAUUUUGCUUUGUUAUCAUUUGUGGUUUGUGAAUUUAUAUCAUUCACAAUUCAUCUCACCAAACAUUAGGGUGCAUAAUAAAUCAUAAUAGUCCCUAAUUUGCUCAAAUUCAGUAGUCUUUUGACCCCACGUUUAUUAUGCGACUUGUACCUAUAUUUUCAACAUUAAUUCUUUUCAAGAUUUUAUCAACAGCUUUAUGCUUUUUUUAUAAAAAGAAAAAUUAAUUUCUUUGAUGUGAUCAUGUUUGUUGAUUUAAGUAUACUAUUAUCUUACAAACAGUCCUUUUAUCAGAUAAAGACCUAUAAUUAUCUGAAAAAUAACUAUCGAAAUUCAUGAUCAAAAAACAAAUGUCGAAAUCUAUUAUCUUUUCAAGGCAUCAUUAAGUACUAGUUUUAACUCGUGUGUUGCACGUGAAGAAUAUAAUAGUAUAUGUUUUAAAUAAUAUCAAUGCAAUAAAAAUACUAUUAUUAACAAUAUUUUGUGAAAUAAAGUAAUUUAUAUAAUUUAUAAAUUCAUGAAUCAAUUCAUAUUAAAAUAAUUCUAUUUUUAUUUAAUUUAAAAUUUUAUAUAUUAUUAAAAAAUUAUAUAAUAAAGAUAAUAAUAUAAGCAAAUAUAAUUUAAUUAAUGUUUAUGAUUUCAUAAUGUAUUAGGCAAUUAAAAUAGGUAAUGUGAAUAAUAAUGAGUAAAUUUUGCUUAAUUAUUAAAUAUAUAAUAAAUAACUAAAAUACAAUCGGUGUAAAAAAAAACAUAAUAAUUUUUUUAACCUUCCAACUUUACAAAGAAAGUCAUUUUAACCUUUCAUUUAAUAUUGUCUUUUUUAGCUUUUAAACUUGCAUUUUUUUAUCAAAUCAUCUUAAAAUAGAUGAAAAAGUUAAUGUUUUUUCACUUUGCUGACAUGGCAUACAUAUUGAUUACUACGUGGAUGACACAUCAACAUUUUAUUAAUUUUUUAAAAUUUUAAAAAUUCAAAAAAUAUUUUUAAAAAUAAAAAAUCAUUAAAAUUAUUUUAAAAUUUUUAAAAAAUUAAUUAAAUACUAACAUGUCAUCCACAUGUAUGCAAAAACAACAAAAUUAACAAACAUAUUUAAAUGGAAGACUAAAAUUACUAUUUUAUUUUAUAAAAUUGGAAACCAAAAAUUUCAUUAUACCUAAAAAAAAUUCUUUUCUUCAACUAAAUAUAAAUUUUAUUAAUGAAAAACGAAGUAGACUGAAAGAGAUCCUUGGUUUGAGGGGACUUUAACCUCUUAUUCAAUAAUUCUUUAUUGAAUAUAAUGCCCUAAUCUAAUAGCUUAUAAUCCACAACACGAGACCGGAUAACAAAGCACUCUUUAACACUAAUAUAGAAACUAAUGCAAAUCAACAUAAAAGCUCAACCACCAACCAAUCAACAUUUUUAAGUAAUCCAAAUAAAAUAAAUAACUAUAUUCAGUAACAGACUCAGAAAUUUUUUGGAGGGGUUGGGGAAUAAAUUGUAUAUUUUUAUAAUAGUGAAAAUGUAAUUUUAUCAUUUUAUAGUAUAUAUCUUUAUAAUUUUUGUUAUUUUUUAGAGGGUAAAGUAUAAUUUUACUGUUGCCAAUUUAAAGUUAUAUAAAUUAUAAAGAGUUUAAAUGGAAAAUUAUCCAUUUUAGGAGGUCAAGGCCAUAUAUCACCAACUUGGUUAAAUGUAAAGAUUAGUGCACCAAAAAAACAAUAAUAUCCCUUUCAUUAAUAAAUUUAUAAACUUCCUUUAUAAAUAAAUUCAUUUAACUUGGACUCAAUUGUAUAACCUUCACAAUAUUCUUUUCUUUCCCUAUCCUAUCGAACAACAAUUAAAAUCUCUAAUAUUUAUCACCCGAAUGAAUCUCAUUUGAUAGUUAGUCGUGCUUAAUAAUAUUUAAAUUCGUGAUAAAUAUAUUUAAAUAAAAUCUAAAUUAAUUUUUUAUUAUAAUUAAUAAUGAGCAUGUAUAACAAUUAUCUAAAUAAGUACUACUUUAAGAUGUAAUUAUAAUUUAAAAAUUACCAAGUAUAUAUGUUGUGCAGUAUUUACAAUUUUAAAAUAGUUGCUUCAUGGAUUUUAUUAAUUAGUGCAUUAAUAAAUCAACCACAAAGCUCAGCUUAUUUGUGAUUUGCACAUGAGAAUUAUUCAAAAGCUAUCAUAUCUAAAUUAACAUGCCAGUUUUGGCAAAGCUAGUAAAAUCUCAUUGAUGGCAAAAAGUAAGGGUAAAUUCGAAAUUUUCUUCAAUUUAGCUGGUAGCCUAUUUAAGUCUCUUGCUUCAUCAUCACUUCUCUCAACGACACAUGCAAUGGUAGCUAUGGUCCCAAGUUUAGGUCAUUAAUAAAUAAAUAAAAUAUCUUACAAAUUUUAGUCUAUGCUUUAUGCUCCAUAAGCUGAAAUUUUGAAUUUAUUUAAGUUUAUAAUAUUAUUAGGAAAAAUAAUCACAAUCGUCUAAUAUGAAUCAUAAAAGUGGAUAUAAAAAAAAUUGACAGUAAUGAAAAAGCAAUUCAACAUAUAGGACAAUUGAAGUCAUUAGUUGGUUGAUUCACGUGAAGAUGUCAACUUUGUAUACAAAACUAUGCAAGGAUGUGAGAAAGUUGAGACUUAUAAGAUUUAAUUUAAUAUUUGUAAGGACUGAUUUGAUAGUUGUAUGCUGCUUUGUAAUGAACAUUUUUGUAAUUCAACCAGAAAUCAUGUAUAAGCAAAGCAAAGAUUAUAUUUAUGAAAGUGAGUAAGUAGGUUUAAACAGACAGCCUGUUUGUAGUUGAGAACUCAUUGAAUGAAAGAUAAUGUCAUUUGCACGAUGAAGCUGGCGUGGCACACAUUUCUUUUUCAAACCAUAUAACAGCAAAAGGGGAGGGGGGUCCCCAAUUCAUGUGAGGCUUUAAGUGAGGUGUCGGUGAGGCUUUGCAUUUGAUUCCCUUUAAGAUCAUUAUAUAAUAAAGCCUCUGUAUAUGCAAUCUGAUCAUCAUCACUCAAAGAUUAUUUUGUUAUGUGCUUGGCAGCUGCAAAUAAGCUGAUAUUAUUUUGAUUUGGGUUCCUAAAUCGUUGGGAGGAGGGACUGUAAAAAAGCAUAGGUUCCCCAUGCAGAUCCUCCCGUUUCGAGGAGGCGCACUUGUGUGCUUCAUUGCUUCCUUGUUAUUUGUUGCCAGUUUUUGCAAUGCCGAUGCUAAAACAGUCGAGGUUGUCGGGGCUGGUGAGUGUGCAGAUUGUGCAGAGAAUAACUUGGAGAUUAGCCAGGCUUUCUCAGGUACGUACUUUGAUCACCUACUCAUGCAUGCAUGCAUAUAUUGAGCUCGAGUAGGACUACGGGACAGCAUUAUUUUUGUAUUAUGUAGGGUUACUUUAACACUGAUGAUAUCCAUAAUAUUAUUGUUAUUAAUUUGUGUUUCUUUUUACAGGGCUACGAGUAAACAUAGACUGCAAGCCCGAAAAUGGGAAGAACUUCAAAACACGAGGAUCAGGGGAGCUUGAUAAACAAGGCAAUUUUAAAGUAUUCGUUCCAGAGGAUUUGGUUGAAAAUGGGGAACUGAAGGAAGAAUGCUAUGCACAGCUUCACAGUGUAUCGGCAGCACCUUGUCCCGCCCAUGAUGGCUUGGAGUCGGCCAAGUUAGUGUUGAAGUCCAGUAGUGAUGGGAAACACGAGUUUGGGUUAAAAGGAAAGCUCAGAUUCUCACCUCUAACCUGUGCUUCUGCCUUCUUUUGGCCUCACUUUAAGUUUCCUCCCAUGCCUAAGUGGAACCAUCCCCCUUUGCCCAAGUUUCCACUUCCCCCAUUCAAAGGCUUCCACCACCAUUAUCCAAUAAUCCCUCCCAUCUACAAGAAACCUCUUCCGCCACCGUCCCCGGUGUACAAGCCCCCUCCAGUUCCCGUAAACCCACCUGUUCCAAUCUAUAAACCUCCACCAGUUCCAGUCUAUAAACCUCCUCCAGUUCCAGUAAAACCACUUCCUCCACCUGUUCCGAUCUACAAACCUCCACCAGUUGAAAAACCACAUCCUCCACCUGUUCCAAUCUACAAACCUCCACCAGUUGAAAAACCACAUCCUCCACCUGUUCCAAUCUACAAACCUCCACCAGUUGAAAAACCACAUCCUCCACCUGUUCCAGUUUAUAAACCUCCACCAGUUGAAAAACCACAUCCUCCACCUGUUCCAGUCUAUAAACCUCCACCAGUUCCAGUAUAUAAGAAACCAUGUCCUCCACCAGUUCCAGUCUAUAAAUCUCCUCCGGUUCCAGUAUACAAGAAACCGCAUCCUCCUCCAGUUCCAGUCUAUAAGAAACCACAUCCACCUCCAGUUCCAGUAUACAAGAAACCAUGUCCUCCCCCAGUUCCAGUCUAUAAAUCUCCUCCAGUUCCGGAACCACAUCCUCCGCCAGUUCCAGUCCAUAAGCCUCCUCCAGUUCCGGUAUACAAGAAACGAGUCCCUCCUCCGGUUCCAAUCUACAAGCCCCCUCCAGUUCCUGUAUACAACAAACCACUACCUCCCCGGGUUCCAGUGUAUACGAAGCCACUUCCACCACCUGUUCCAACCUACAAUCCAAAACCCCUCCCUCCCAUUCCUUACAAGCCACUCCCUCCACUUCCCAAGAUCCCUCCAUUCCCUAAGAAGCCAUGCCCUCCCCUUCCUAAGCUACCUCCUCUUCCCAAGAUUCCUCCCAAGUAUUUCCACCACCACCCUCCUCUUCCUAAGCUGCCUCCUCUCCCUAAGAUUCCUCCCAAGUAUUUCCACCACCACCCCAAGUUCGGAAAAUGGCCUCCUUUGCCACCCUUUGCUCCCCAUCAUCCUUAAGCUAUCUUGCAUUGUUUUACGCAUUUAAUGAAGGUGGUUAGUGUGAACAAGUUCCCCAGCAGUACCUCAUGCAAUAAAUGUAGCAACAAAAGAAG
rnacentral:lncRNA from 1 species